rnacentral:rRNA from 1 species
GGGUUGUGAGGUUAAGCGACUAAGCGUACACGGUGGAUGCCCUGGCAGUCAGAGGCGAUGAAGGACGUGCUAAUCUGCGAUAAGCGUCGGUAAGGUGAUAUGAACCGUUAUAACCGGCGAUUUCCGAAUGGGGAAACCCAGUGUGUUUCGACACACUAUCAUUAACUGAAUCCAUAGGUUAAUGAGGCGAACCGGGGGAACUGAAACAUCUAAGUACCCCGAGGAAAAGAAAUCAACCGAGAUUCCCCCAGUAGCGGCGAGCGAACGGGGAGCAGCCCAGAGCCUGAAUCAGUGUGUGUGUUAGUGGAAGCGUCUGGAAAGGCGCGCGAUACAGGGUGACAGCCCCGUACACAAAAAUGCACAUGCUGUGAGCUCGAUGAGUAGGGCGGGACACGUGGUAUCCUGUCUGAAUAUGGGGGGACCAUCCUCCAAGGCUAAAUACUCCUGACUGACCGAUAGUGAACCAGUACCGUGAGGGAAAGGCGAAAAGAACCCCGGCGAGGGGAGUGAAAAAGAACCUGAAACCGUGUACGUACAAGCAGUGGGAGCACGCUUAGGCGUGUGACUGCGUACCUUUUGUAUAAUGGGUCAGCGACUUAUAUUCUGUAGCAAGGUUAACCGAAUAGGGGAGCCGAAGGGAAACCGAGUCUUAACUGGGCGUUAAGUUGCAGGGUAUAGACCCGAAACCCGGUGAUCUAGCCAUGGGCAGGUUGAAGGUUGGGUAACACUAACUGGAGGACCGAACCGACUAAUGUUGAAAAAUUAGCGGAUGACUUGUGGCUGGGGGUGAAAGGCCAAUCAAACCGGGAGAUAGCUGGUUCUCCCCGAAAGCUAUUUAGGUAGCGCCUCGUGAAUUCAUCUCCGGGGGUAGAGCACUGUUUCGGCAAGGGGGUCAUCCCGACUUACCAACCCGAUGCAAACUGCGAAUACCGGAGAAUGUUAUCACGGGAGACACACGGCGGGUGCUAACGUCCGUCGUGAAGAGGGAAACAACCCAGACCGCCAGCUAAGGUCCCAAAGUCAUGGUUAAGUGGGAAACGAUGUGGGAAGGCCCAGACAGCCAGGAUGUUGGCUUAGAAGCAGCCAUCAUUUAAAGAAAGCGUAAUAGCUCACUGGUCGAGUCGGCCUGCGCGGAAGAUGUAACGGGGCUAAACCAUGCACCGAAGCUGCGGCAGCGACGCUUAUGCGUUGUUGGGUAGGGGAGCGUUCUGUAAGCCUGUGAAGGUGUGCUGUGAGGCAUGCUGGAGGUAUCAGAAGUGCGAAUGCUGACAUAAGUAACGAUAAAGCGGGUGAAAAGCCCGCUCGCCGGAAGACCAAGGGUUCCUGUCCAACGUUAAUCGGGGCAGGGUGAGUCGACCCCUAAGGCGAGGCCGAAAGGCGUAGUCGAUGGGAAACAGGUUAAUAUUCCUGUACUUGGUGUUACUGCGAAGGGGGGACGGAGAAGGCUAUGUUGGCCGGGCGACGGUUGUCCCGGUUUAAGCGUGUAGGCUGGUUUUCCGGCAAAUCCGGAAAAUCAAGGCUGAGGCGUGAUGACGAGGCACUACGGUGCUGAAGCAACAAAUGCCCUGCUUCCAGGAAAAGCCUCUAAGCAUCAGGUAACAUCAAAUCGUACCCCAAACCGACACAGGUGGUCAGGUAGAGAAUACCAAGGCGCUUGAGAGAACUCGGGUGAAGGAACUAGGCAAAAUGGUGCCGUAACUUCGGGAGAAGGCACGCUGAUAUGUAGGUGAAGUCCCUCGCGGAUGGAGCUGAAAUCAGUCGAAGAUACCAGCUGGCUGCAACUGUUUAUUAAAAACACAGCACUGUGCAAACACGAAAGUGGACGUAUACGGUGUGACGCCUGCCCGGUGCCGGAAGGUUAAUUGAUGGGGUUAGCGGUAACGCGAAGCUCUUGAUCGAAGCCCCGGUAAACGGCGGCCGUAACUAUAACGGUCCUAAGGUAGCGAAAUUCCUUGUCGGGUAAGUUCCGACCUGCACGAAUGGCGUAAUGAUGGCCAGGCUGUCUCCACCCGAGACUCAGUGAAAUUGAACUCGCUGUGAAGAUGCAGUGUACCCGCGGCAAGACGGAAAGACCCCGUGAACCUUUACUAUAGCUUGACACUGAACAUUGAGCCUUGAUGUGUAGGAUAGGUGGGAGGCUUUGAAGUGUGGACGCCAGUCUGCAUGGAGCCGACCUUGAAAUACCACCCUUUAAUGUUUGAUGUUCUAACGUUGACCCCUAAUCGGGGUUGCGGACAGUGUCUGGUGGGUAGUUUGACUGGGGCGGUCUCCUCCUAAAGAGUAACGGAGGAGCACGAAGGUUGGCUAAUCCUGGUCGGACAUCAGGAGGUUAGUGCAAUGGCAUAAGCCAGCUUGACUGCGAGCGUGACGGCGCGAGCAGGUGCGAAAGCAGGUCAUAGUGAUCCGGUGGUUCUGAAUGGAAGGGCCAUCGCUCAACGGAUAAAAGGUACUCCGGGGAUAACAGGCUGAUACCGCCCAAGAGUUCAUAUCGACGGCGGUGUUUGGCACCUCGAUGUCGGCUCAUCACAUCCUGGGGCUGAAGUAGGUCCCAAGGGUAUGGCUGUUCGCCAUUUAAAGUGGUACGCGAGCUGGGUUUAGAACGUCGUGAGACAGUUCGGUCCCUAUCUGCCGUGGGCGCUGGAGAACUGAGGGGGGCUGCUCCUAGUACGAGAGGACCGGAGUGGACGCAUCACUGGUGUUCGGGUUGUCAUGCCAAUGGCACUGCCCGGUAGCUAAAUGCGGAAGAGAUAAGUGCUGAAAGCAUCUAAGCACGAAACUUGCCCCGAGAUGAGUUCUCCCUGACUCCUUGAGAGUCCUGAAGGAACGUUGAAGACGACGACGUUGAUAGGCCGGGUGUGUAAGCGCAGCGAUGCGUUGAGCUAACCGGUACUAAUGAACCGUGAGGCUUAACCUUACAACGCCGAAGCUGUU